UAGGGAAUCUUCCGCAAUGGGCGAAAGCCUGACGGAGCAACGCCGCGUGAGUGAUGAAGGCCUUCGGAUCGUAAAACUCUGUUAUUAGGGAAGAACAAAUGUGUAAGUAACUAUGCACGUCUUGACGGUACCUAAUCAGAAAGCCACGGCUAACUACGUGCCAGCAGCCGCGGUAAUACGUAGGUGGCAAGCGUUAUCCGGAAUUAUUGGGCGUAAAGCGCGCGUAGGCGGUUUUUUAAGUCUGAUGUGAAAGCCCACGGCUCAACCGUGGGGGGUCAUUGGAAACUGGAAAACUUGAGUGCAGAAGAGGAAAGUGGAAUUCCAUGUGUAGCGGUGAAAUGCGCAGAGAUAUGGAGGAACACCAGUGGCGAAGGCGACUUUCUGGUCUGUAACUGACGCUGAUGUGCGAAAGCGUGGGGAUCAAACCGG
rnacentral:rRNA from 1 species